AGUUUUUUGAAUUUAUAGUAGAUUUUUUUUGCCCGGGGGUUUUUUUUACGGCCGCGGUAUUUUUGCCGGGCAAAGGUAGCAUAAUCAUUUUUCUUUUAAUUUGGGGCUGGGAUGAAAGGGGUGGCGUAGGGUUAGUUGUCUCUUUUUUUUUUUUUGAAUUUUCUUUUUUGAUGAAGAGGUCUAUAUAAUAAAAUAAGACGAGAAGACCCUAUUGAUCUUUAUUUUUUUGAAUUAAUUAAAUUUUUUUUUAUUUUUUUUUUAUUUUUUAUGGAUUUGGUUGGGGCAACUGGGGAGGAUAAAAAUUCUCUUUUUUUAUAUUUAGAUCCGGUAUUCCCGAUAUGAAGACUGAGUUACCAUAGGGAUAACAGCGUAAUUUCUCUGGAGAGUUCCUAUCGAUAGGGAAGAUUGC
rnacentral:rRNA from 1 species